GGUAAGGUGGUCGAGUGGUUAAGACGUAAGACUCGAAUCCAGCCAAUGGAAGAAAUCUUAUCCCUUUGGGGUCGCGCGUUCAAAUCGCGUCCUUGUCG